AUGAUGCCUUGUGAUUUCUUUGCUACCACCUUGCAUUACAUGAUACCAUCACUUAAGAUUGAUUUGAAAACUCAUUUGCUUGGAUAUGAUGAUAUAUACCCUGUUAGUGGCAUUACUCUCAUUUGCGAUGAUCAUAGUUACUUUCCUCGUGCUAGUCCUAUGCUUAAUGAAACACAUCAUUUCCAUGCUAGUCUUGAGCUUAAUGAUAAAUGUCAUCCUCGUGUGAGUAUUGACCAUGCUGAUUUCUGCCAUCCUAAACAUGUGCUUUAUAGUUAUGCUUAUAUAAUUGGAUAUACCAUUGAUGACUUGGAGGGCAUCGACCGUAUCACUUAUAGUUGUUUGUGUGAGUCCUAUUUCAGGCUUUUGCUACUGCACUGUUUACUACAUGCUGACCAGGUUUGA
rnacentral:rRNA from 1 species